AGUGAACGCUGGCGGUAGGCCUAACACAUGCAAGUCGAACGGCAGCACAGGAGAGCUUGCUCUCUGGGUGGCGAGUGGCGGACGGGUGAGGAAUACAUCGGAAUCUACUCUGUCGUGGGGGAUAACGUAGGGAAACUUACGCUAAUACCGCAUACGACCUACGGGUGAAAGCAGGGGAUCUUCGGACCUUGCGCGAUUGAAUGAGCCGAUGUCGGAUUAGCUAGUUGGCGGGGUAAAGGCCCACCAAGGCGACGAUCCGUAGCUGGUCUGAGGGGAUGAGCAGCCACACUGGAACUGGGACACGGUCCAGAGUCCUACGGGAGGCAGCAGUGGGGAAUAUUGGACAAUGGGCGCAAGCCUGAUCCAGCCGUACCGCGUGGGUGAAGAAGGCCUUCGGGUUGUAAAGCCCUUUUGUUGGGAAAGAAAUCCGGCUGGCUAAUACCCGGUUGGGAUGACGGUACCCAAAGAAUAAGCACCGGCUAACUUCGUGCCAGCAGCCGCCGUAA
rnacentral:rRNA from 1 species